UCAUAAGCCCUUCUCAAGGAAGGCAAGUAGAAAUCUUCACAAAGAAGACGGAUAAAGUGCAGCAUAGGUUGUUACGAACCACUAGUAAAAGUGCAGUAUAGAUUACUGCGAACCACUGAUAAAAUACAGCAUAGGUUGCUGGGAACCACAAGUAGCAGCAUAAGGUUGCUAGGAACCACAAGUAACAGUAUAAGGCUGUUGCAAACAAGUAACCAUCUUUAUAAGAUCAAAUCAUUGAUGAGGACA